CCUCUUUUAGAGAAUGUGCAUUGCCUGACAAAGGAAAGAUAAACAGAUCCUCACAGAUUUCCAGGGUCCAGCUUUUCUUGAAACAGACGUUGGGCUGCCUGGUACAGAACAGGGUUGGAAACUAAACCUGACCAUGAUGGAGCACAACAGGUAUGUCUAAUGGAUGGGAUAGAAAUUUGUGACCUGUAUGUGCUAAGAAGCUUGUCUGAACCUACCCUUAUUCUGGGAGCCAUUGUGGACUGGACCAAAAGCAAA